UUGAACCGGAGAGUUUGAUCAUGGCUCAGAUUGAACGCUGGCGGUAGGCUUAACACAUGCAAGUCGGACGGCAGCAGACCGUAACAAUCCCUUCGGGGUGCGUUUGGUGCUGGCGAGUGGCGGACGGGUGAGUAAUACGUAGGAAUCUGCCCAACAGUGGGGGACAACCCGAGGAAACUCGGGCUAAUACCGCAUACGCCCUACGGGGGAAAGCGGGGGACUUUAGGGCCUCGCGCUGUUUGGAUGAGCCUGCGGCGGAUUAGCUUGUUGGUGAGGUAAGAGCUCACCAAGGCGACGAUCCGUAGCUGGUCUGAGAGGAUGAUCAGCCACACUGGGACUGAGACACGGCCCAGACUCCUACGGGAGGCAGCAGUGGNGAA
rnacentral:rRNA from 1 species